AUGGAAAAUAAACUAUCCGUUCUUAACAGUCGUGAAGAAACUUCAACUUCUAAAUUCUUUAUAUAAUAGCACUCUUAGCCUUUUAAAUAAAUUAAACGGAAGACAUCCGCCCAAAUACCAAAGAAGUUCAGAUUCAAAUUCUGGUUGUGGUGAUAUUUUUCGCAAACCAAAUGCAGUAAAAGAGAAAGGAAGAUGAUUUAUUCCUCCAAAAUUCAUAAAACAAACAAAAUUCGACUAAUAUUACGGUAUGUACUAUAUUCGAUUUUGUCAUGCUCAUCAUUCAUAAUCCAGUCGUGAUUCUCUUCGACUAAUUUCUUCCAAUAAUCUGCAGAAUUAAUUCCUGAAUUGUACCAUCAGCACCGCCAUAUUCGAUUGGCAAGAUAUCUGCUGGAACAUCCUUAAAACAGCUCAGUGACAUGUGAUAGCAACUCUGCCACGCGUGUACUACAUUCAUAAAUAUAUGAGGUUGGCAUAGAGCUAUGUGCCGUACUGUUGGAUUGACCACGUCAACGUAUAUUGCGCAACCAUACACAGAUGCAGUAGUGUUAUUCUUCAUUGUUAGUUCUGCUAACAUUACACCGAUCUGAUGAAAUAAUCGUCCGUUGAGAAACAAUAAUAAAUAUUUUGCCAGGACGUCAGUCACAAACA